CGGGUGUAGCUCAAUGGUAGAGCGUCGGCUUCCCAAGCCGAUAACGUGGGUUCGAUUCCCAUCACCC
rnacentral:tRNA from 1 species